UUAAAGCGGUACGCGAGCUGGGUUCAGAACGUCGUGAGACAGUUCGGUCCCUAUCCUCCGCGGGCGCAAGGGAGUUGAGGAGAUCUGCCCCUAGUACGAGAGGACCGGGGUGGACGGACCUCUGGUGACGCGGUUGUCGGCCAACGGCACCGCCGCCUAGCUACGUCCGGCACGGAUAACCGCUGAAGGCAUCUAAGUGGGAAGCCGCCUCCGAGAUGAGCUCCCUUUCCGGUAAGGGCCCUGGUAGAACACCAGGUCGAUAGGAUGCAGCUGCAAGCGCGGCGACGCGCUCAGGCGAGCAUUACUAAUAGCCCGAGCUCUUCGCUU
rnacentral:rRNA from 1 species